rnacentral:rRNA from 1 species
GAUGAACGCUGGCGGCGUGCUUAACACAUGCAAGUCGAACGAAGCACUUUAUUUGAUUUCCUUCGGGACUGAUUAUUUUGUGACUGAGUGGCGGACGGGUGAGUAACGCGUGGGUAACCUGCCUUGUACAGGGGGAUAACAGUUGGAAACGGCUGCUAAUACCGCAUAAGCGCACAGCAUCGCAUGAUGCAGUGUGAAAAACUCCGGUGGUAUAAGAUGGACCCGCGUUGGAUUAGCUAGUUGGUGAGGUAACGGCCCACCAAGGCGACGAUCCAUAGCCGACCUGAGAGCGUGACCGGCCACAUUGGGACUGCGAGACGGCCCAAACUCCUACGGGAGGCAGCAGUGGGGAAUAUUGCACAAUGGGCGAAAGCCUGAUGCAGCGACGCCGCGUGAGCGAAGAAGUAUUUCGGUAUGUAAAGCUCUAUCAGCAGGGAAGAUAAUGACGGUACCUGACUAAGAAGCACCGGCUAAAUACGUG